GGAGGUAUAGCUGGAGUGUUAAAGUGCAUGCUUAGCAUGCAAGAGGUCCCAGGUUCAAUUCCCAGUAUCUCUU
rnacentral:tRNA from 1 species